UGAAGAUACAUUUGAGUGAGCGGCGGAUGGGUGAGUAACACGUGGGUAACCUGCCCUAAAGUGGGGGAUAACAUCUGGAAACAGGUGCUAAUACCGCAUAACAACAAUUUCCACAUGGUCAUUGUUUGAAAGAUGGUUCUGCUAUCGCUUUAGGAUGGACCCGCGGCGUAUUAGCUAGUUGGUGAGGUAACGGCUCACCAAGGCGAUGAUACGUAGCCGACCUGAGAGGGUAAUCGGCCACAUUGGGACUGAGACACGGCCCAAACUCCUACGGGAGGCAGCAGUAGGGAAUCUUCCACAAUGGACGAAAGUCUGAUGGAGCAACGCCGCGUGAAUGA
rnacentral:rRNA from 2 species